rnacentral:rRNA from 1 species
GUGGGGAAUCUUGCGCAAUGGACGAAAGUCUGACGCAGCGACGCCGCGUGAGGGAGGAAGCUCUUCGGGGUGUAAACCUCUGUUGCCCGGGACGAAUGUGCAGAUUUAUCUGCAUUGACGGUACCGGGUGAGGAAGCGCCGGCUAACUCUGUGCCAGCAGCCGCGGUAAUACAGAGGGCGCGAGCGUUGUCCGGAAUCACUGGGCGUAAAGGGCGCGUAGGUGGCACGAUAAGGCCGUGGUGAAAGUUCGGGGCUCAACCCUGAAUCUGCCGCGGCGACUGUCGAGCUUGGGCACCGUAGAGGCAGAUGGAAUUCCGGGUGUAGCGGUGGAAUGCGUAGAGAUCCGGAAGAACACCGGUGGCGAAGGCGGUCUGCUGGGCGGUGGGGGCGCAAGCUCCCAAUAGCCGACACUGAGGCGCGACAGCGUGGGGAGCAAACAGGAUUAGAUACCCGAGUAGUCC